AUUUUGUAUUCUUUUUUGCUUUUUCAGGCUCAGCCUGUCUGUUCUACAACCUGCUCCCUGCUCUAUAGGGAAACUGGCAAGUCUCUCCAUCUCCUGCCUCAGCAAUCCUUCCCGCUUUUGUAUAUACCUUGCAUGUACAAAAUGGCUGAACUGCCUUAUUGGUUAGAGAGAUGCCUAUACUGUGGAACAUAACAUCCCUAUAACCUUUCAUGUUCUUUCCCGACAACAACACUGGGGUGUACCAGGAAAGGUAAUUCAUCGGCUCCACUAACAUUAAGAAUUGAGUCGUCAGAUAUACAGGUAGAAACAAUAGAAUUCUACCCCAUCUCUGUUAACCCUGGCAUCACUGCACAUGUUGGCGCCAUCUAUUGUAGUAACCUGCUUGUGUAGCCAUUUUGGUUAAGGGCAUUCUUACUGUUUUGCCAUUGCUUGAU